rnacentral:rRNA from 1 species
AGUGAACGCUGGCGGUAGGCCUAACACAUGCAAGUCGAACGGCAGCACAGUAAGAGCUUGCUCUUACGGGUGGCGAGUGGCGGACGGGUGAGGAAUACAUCGGAAUCUACUUUUUCGUGGGGGAUAACGUAGGGAAACUUACGCUAAUACCGCAUACGACCUACGGGUGAAAGCAGGGGAUCUUCGGACCUUGCGCGAUUGAAUGAGCCGAUGUCGGAUUAGCUAGUUGGCGGGGUAAAGGCCCACCAAGGCGACGAUCCGUAGCUGGUCUAAGAGGAUGAUCAGCCACACUGGAACUGAGACACGGUCCAGACUCCUACGAGAGGCAGCAGUGGGGAAUAUUGGACAAAGGGCGCAAGCCUGAUCCAGCCAUACCGCGUGGGUGAAGAAGGCCUUCGGGUUGUAAAGCCCUUUUGUUGGGAAAGAAAAGCAGCAGGUUAAUACCCCGCUGUUCUGACGGUACCCAAAGAAUAAGCACCGGCUAACUUCGUG